rnacentral:lncRNA from 1 species
CAUGUCCAACCUUCCUCUCCAAAAAAACCAAAAUUCUCUCUAAACUCCUUGUGAACACCGACCACCCCUUCCUAGAUUUCAAUAUUCAGCCGUCGUUACCGCCUCCACACUGUUGUCGACAGCGCUUUCCGACAGCGAUUUUGUUCCCAAAAUACUCCAAAAUCUUCCCUUCGACCUCUAAAGACUUCUACCGAAAUAGAUUUCCCCGUAAUCUACUAGAUUUUUCUAGAUCUGAGCUGAAAUUCGUGGUUUCAACAAAACCCUCUUUUCAUUCUCUUCAAC